UAUAAUCACAACCUGAUAAAA
rnacentral:antisense_RNA from 1 species